CCAGCUCCCCCUCCGUUCCACAAAUUCGUCAAUCUCCAUCGUCGUCUCUCUCGUCCUACAUGCCCCCGCCUGCCAUGUAAUUGAGAGGGAUUUCACACCCGUUUGAGAAUCCAAAAGGAAGAGACUAAUUUUUCUGCAAUCUUUCCAAAUCCAACAACGGAAUUAUAGAUUAGAAACAAAUGAGUUCAGCGUCUGCAACUCUUAGUUUCUGUUAAUGGUCUCUUGUGCCGGAAAAACUGCCCAGAAUUCCAUCGGAGAAGACAAUCCCGUUCUUGGAUCUGAAAUCCAUACCUUAUUCCACUUCUUGCUUUCCCUUCGGUUCUUCCCACAGUUUUUUCCGUCAUCUUCUCUUUCUUUGAUAGAUGAAAUUUCUUAGUUUAUCAUGAAGCAAAGCCUCAUGGAGUCUCACUCGAAUCAUGCAGAGGAAGUCUGAAUUUUCAGAAGAAGGGUUCGGGGGAGAAGAAGCUUUCUGUUAAAAUUUUGCAUUUGUAUUUAUGUCUUAGAACGAUUGCAUUCCCAAUUCAUUUUUUUUUAUCUUGAUAUUUUGAGCAUUUUCAUGAACC